rnacentral:rRNA from 1 species
CUGGAGGAAGCACGGGCUAAGUUCGUGCCAGCAGCCGCGGUAAGACGAACCGUGCAAACGUUGUUCGGAAUCACUGGGCUUAAAGGGCGCGUAGGCGGGUGGCCAAGUCAGGGGUGAAAUCUUUCGGCUUAACCGGAAAAUAGCCUUUGAUACUGGCCGUCUUGAGCGAGGUAGGGGCAUGUGGAACUUCCGGUGGAGCGGUGAAAUGCGUUGAUAUCGGAAGGAACGCCGGUGGCGAAAGCGACGUGCUGGACCUCUUCUGACGCUGAGGCGCGAAAGCUAGGGGAGCGAACGGGAUUAGAUACCCCGGUAGUCCUAGCCCUAAACGAUGGGUACUAGGUAGUGGACUUAACAUGGGUUCACUGCCGAAGCAAAAGUGUUAAGNACCCCGCCUGGGGAGUAUGGUCGCAAGGCUGAAACUCAAAGGAGUUGACGGGGGCUCACACAAGCGGUGGAG